UAUUAAUUUCACUUGCAUUUAAGGUGGGGCGACUUCGACUGAAUUAGAUGAAAUUCAAUGCCAAUUCAAAGGGUAUUUAAAUAUUCAAGUUAAGCACAAGAAAUGGUUUGGAAAGCGUUGGAAACGUCGAUUUGUUAUCAUAUCAGAAAGGUGUUUAAAUGUGUAUUCAAAACAGAAUGCAAAGAACUUAAAGCAGUCCUACCCUUUUAAAGAUUUUAAAAGAGUCACUGCACACGAAAACAAUAAUACAUUUAUGCUAACGUUCAGAGAGCCUGACAGACCGCCAAUUGUGUGUUUCUGUAAAUCCUCAUUCAAAAGAACGGUAU